AUUUUUACAGACCACAGAGAGCUUCAGCUGACCUUCCUAAGACAACAAGACGCCUUAAACACAUCUGCGUUCUAACAGCUUUAUUAGGACCAGCAACUCACCAUCAUCAACUCCUGUGAAACUCACCUGGGUUUAAGAUGAAGAGGGGAGCACUCCUUUGCUGUUUCGCUCUGUGUCUGGUCAUGGUCAGAGGGUCCACCAUCAAGGCCCUGAAAAAUAU